rnacentral:rRNA from 1 species
AGAGUUUGAUCCUGGCUCAGGACGAACGCUGGCGGCACGCCUAAUGCAUGCAAGUCGAGCGACGCAUGUCCGAGGGGUAACCCACGGGCAUGACGGAGCGGCGAACGGGUGCGUAACACGUGAGCAACCUGCCCCGAAGAUCGGGAUAGCCCGGGGAAACCCGGAUUAAUACCGAAUGUCCUCGCCUGGCCGCAUGGCCGAGCGAGGAAAGACUCCGGUGCUUCGGGAUGGGCUCGCGGCCUAUCAGCUUGUUGGUGAGGUAACGGCUCACCAAGGCAACGACGGGUAGCUGGUCUGAGAGGACGAUCAGCCACACUGGGACUGAGACACGGCCCAGACUCCUACGGGAGGCAGCAGCAGGGAAUCUUGCGCAAUGGACGAAAGUCUGACGCAGCGAUGCCGCGUGGGGGAUGACGGCCUUCGGGUUGUAAACCCCUUUCAGGAGGGACGAAAUUGACGGUACCUCCAGAAGAAGCCCCGGCCAACUACGUGCCAGCAGCCGCGGUAAU